UACGUAGGUGGCAAGCGUUGUCCGGAUUUACUGGGCGUAAAGAGCGCGCAGGCGGUCGUUCAAGUCGCGUGUGAAAGCCCCCGGCUCAACUGGGGAGGGUCACGCGAUACUGAUCGACUCGAAGGCAGGAGAGGGUAGUGGAAUUCCCGGUGUAGUGGUGAAAUGCGUAGAUAUCGGGAGGAACACCAGUGGCGAAGGCGGCGACCUGGGUAGAUACUGACGCUGAGGCGCGAAAGCGUGGGGAGCAAACAGG
rnacentral:rRNA from 1 species